GGGAUACGAGGUGGAGCACACACCUGCUGGGCAGCCCAUAAACCGGCGAUCAUCAUCUGGACCCGUCUCACCAGAGCUGGACGACCAUUACGAUGAGUCUCCUCAGCUGGAACCUUUCUUGCACGAGCUUCCUCACAAAGAGGAGGGUCAGGGGCAUACUCUGGAGGAGGAUCUGUUACCCCACAUGCUUCUGCCACCAGAUAGCCUGGAGGUUCUGGAGAAAUCUGAGAGAAAAAUGCUAAAGAAAAAGAGGAGGAAUAAGCAGAAGAAACAGCGGCACAGGCAUUUUAAUGACCUCUGGGUUCGGAUAGAGGAGAGCUCUGUGGUGCAGUCCCCGCCUCCCCCAAUGGUUCGCAUCAUCAAUGGUUACAUCACGGUGCAGCCGCCUGACAGGAUCCAAAGCCAGUACAACUAUCAUCGUGUUCCUUCAGCAGCACCAACGCCUUCAACCUUCUCGUUCUCUUUACUGAGCUUCCUCCUCACACUACCUAUAGUAAUCUCACAGAUAUGGACUGUGGCCCUCUAGUAAAACAGUUACAAGGACUCUAAAUAAAACUCGUACACGUGGCGGUUUCAAAUGUACUGCUCUAAAAAGUCUGCUCUAGCUGUUCACUCCAUGGAUGUUUGGG
rnacentral:lncRNA from 1 species